rnacentral:rRNA from 1 species
CCUACGGGAGGCAGCAGUGAGGAAUAUUGGUCAAUGGCCGGAAGGCUGAACCAGCCAUGCCGCGUGAAGGUCAGUGCCCUAUGGGCGUUAAACUUCUUUUGUGCGGGAGCAAUAAUGGUCACGUGUGGCCAGACGAGAGUACCGUACGAAUAAGCAUCGGCUAACUCCGUUCCAGCAGCCGCGGUAAUACGGGGGAUGCAAGCGUUAUCCGGAUUUAUUGGGUUUAAAGGGUGCGUAGGCUGUGAGGUAAGUCAGCGGUGAAAUGCCCCCGCUCAACGGGGUGAAGUGCCAUUGAUACUGCCUGGCUGGAAGGCGGAUGCCGUGGGAGGAAUGUGUGGUGUAGCGGUGAAAUGCAUAGAUAUCACACAGAACACCGAUUGCGAAGGCAUCUCACGAAGCCGCGAUUGACGCUGAUGCACGAAAGCGUGGGUAUCAAACAGGAUUAGAUACCCCUGUAGUC